rnacentral:rRNA from 1 species
AGAGUUUGAUCCUGGCUCAGAUUGAACGCUGGCGGCAGGCUUAACACAUGCAAGUCGAGCGGGGGAGGGUAGCUUGCUACCUAACCUAGCGGCGGACGGGUGAGUAAUGCUUAGGAAUCUGCCUAUUAGUGGGGGACAACAUUUCGAAAGGGGUGCUAAUACCGCAUACGCCCUAAGGGGGAAAGCAGGGGAUCUUCGGACCUUGCGCUAAUAGAUGAGCCUAAGUCGGAUUAGCUAGUUGGUGGGGUAAAGGCCUACCAAGGCGACGAUCUGUAGCGGGUCUGAGAGGAUGAUCCGCCACACUGGGACUGAGACACGGCCCAGACUCCUACGGGAGGCAGCAGUGGGGAAUAUUGGACAAUGGGGGGAACCCUGAUCCAGCCAUGCCGCGUGUGUGAAGAAGGCCUUUUGGUUGUAAAGCACUUUAAGCGAGGAGGAGGCUACCGAGAUUAAUACUUCUUGGAUAUGUGGACGUACUCGCAGAAUAAGCACC